UACAGAGGUCCCAAGCGUUGUUCGGAUUCACUGGGCGUAAAGGGUGCGUAGGCGGUUCGGGUAAGUCUGAUGUGAAAUCCUCACAGCUUAACUGUGAAACUGCAUUGGAUACUAGUCCGGCUCGAGGAAUGGAGGGGGAGACUGGAAUACUUGGUGUAGCAGUGAAAUGCGUAGAUAUCAAGUGGAACACCGGUGGCGAAGGCGGCUCUCUGGGACCCGUAACUGGACGGCUGAGGCGCGAAAGCGUGGGGGGAGCAAACAGG
rnacentral:rRNA from 1 species